UACAUAGGUCCCGAGCGUUGUCCGGAUUUAUUGGGCGUAAAGCGAGCGCAGGUGGUUUAUUAAGUCUGGUGUAAAAGGCAGUGGCUCAACCAUUGUAUGCAUUGGAAACUGGUAGACUUGAGUGCAGGAGAGGAGAGUGGGAUUCCAUGUGUAGCGGUGAAAUGCGUAGAUAUAUGGAGGAACACCGGUGGCGAAAGCGGCUCUCUGGCCUGUAACUGACACUGAGGCUCGAAAGCGUGGGGAGCAAACAGG
rnacentral:rRNA from 1 species